UCCGCGGAAUGGCAUUUGAAACUGGAGGGCUUGAGUGGCGGAGAGGGUAGUGGAAUUCCCAGUGUAACGGUGAAAUGGGUAAAUAUUGGGAGGAACCCCAGUGGCGAAGGCGACUACCUGGACGAUAACUGACGCUGAAGCACGAAAGCUAGGGGAGCAAACAGGAUUAGAUACCCUGGUAGUCCUAGCCGUAAACGAUGGGUACUAGGUGUGGGUGGUUUCCAUACCUUCCGUGCCGUAGUUAACGCAUUAAGUACCCCGCCUGGGGAGUACGUGCGCAAGCAUGAAACUCAAAUGAAUUGACGGAGGU
rnacentral:rRNA from 1 species